rnacentral:rRNA from 1 species
AGGCCUAACACAUGCAAGUCGAGGGGCAUCGGGAUUGAAGCUUGCUUCAAUUGCCGGCGACCGGCGCACGGGUGCGUAACGCGUAUGUAACCUACCUAUAACAGGGGCAUAACACUGAGAAAUUGGUACUAAUUCCCCAUAAUAUUCGGAGAGGCAUCUCUCCGGGUUGAAAACUCCGGUGGUUAUAGAUGGACAUGCGUUGUAUUAGCUAGUUGGUGAGGUAACGGCUCACCAAGGCAACGAUACAUAGGGGGACUGAGAGGUUAACCCCCCACACUGGUACUGAGACACGGACCAGACUCCUACGGGAGGCAGCAGUGAGGAAUAUUGGUCAAUGGACGCAAGUCUGAACCAGCCAUGCCGCGUGCAGGAAGACGGCUCUAUGAGUUGUAAACUGCUUUUGUACGAGGGUAAACUCACCUACGUGUAGGUGACUGAAAGUAUCGUACGAAUAAGGAUCGGCUAACUCCGUGCCAGCAGCCGCGGUAAUACGGAGGAUUCAAGCGUUAUCCGGAUUUAUUGGGUUUAAAGGGUGCGUAGGCGGUUUGAUAAGUUAGAGGUGAAAUCCCGGGGCUUAACUCCGGAACUGCCUCUAAUACUGUUAGACUAGAGAGUAGUUGCGGUAGGCGGAAUGUAUGGUGUAGCGGUGAAAUGCUUAGAGAUCAUACAGAACACCGAUUGCGAAGGCAGCUUACCAAACUAUAUC